rnacentral:rRNA from 1 species
CCUACGGGAGGCAGCAGUGGGGAAUAUUGGGCAAUGGGCGCAAGCCUGACCCAGCAACGCCGCGUGAAGGAAGAAGGCUUUCGGGUUGUAAACUUCUUUUAAGAGGGAAGAGCAGAAGACGGUACCUCUUGAAUAAGCCACGGCUAACUACGUGCCAGCAGCCGCGGUAAUACGUAGGUGGCAAGUGUUGUCCGGAUUUACUGGGUGUAAAGGGCGUGUAGCCGGGCUGACAAGUCAGAGGUGAAAUCCGGGGGCUCAACCCCCGAACUGCAGUUGAAACUGUUAGUCUUGAGUAUCGGAGAGGCAGGCGGAAUGCCUAGUGUAGCGGUGAAAUGCGUAGAUAUUGGGAGGAACACCAGUGGCGAAGGCGGCCUGCUGGACGACAACUGACGGUGAGGCGCGAAAGCGUGGGGAGCAAACAGGAUUAGAUACCCGGGUAGUC